AGCUUUUGUUUUAAUUACAAAGUAGCAGAAGUUAGAUAUGUGAUUACUGUAACAUCAGGGCAUCUUUUUAGAAUCCCUGCUUUGGUCACUAUUAUUCAAAGCAACUCCAAUGCCAUUUCUUGCCUGCCUCUUUAUGCUAAUCAGCCUAGCUCACUCGGCUCCUCCUCCUUCAGCUUCCCUUAAGAACUGUUCACUUUCAGCUGUCACGGAGGGUAACUCAGACCAGGCUUAGAAAUCACUUGAUUUAACUCAGCAGCACUUUUUAAAUUUUGUGUCUAUUACUCUAGCAGUCCUCUCUAAAUACCAGAGGCAUUAGGUUUCAUGUCAGCAGAUGAGUCAAAAAUUGCCAAAACGGGGCGGUUAUGCUGGUAAAUAUUUAUUUCAAGAAUCAUGACUUGGAAGCGCUUGGAAGUUUAUUAGAGAGGUAAAUGUUUUACACUCAUGGACAGGAUCUGCAUGUACCUCUGUGGCUCUGGGUGUCUGGUGAGGACCAUUUUAGGUGACUGACCAAGGGAAGGAAAUGCCUUAGUGAGACUGGAGUCACAGCCAUAUUGCCACCACCAUGUCUACCAUACAAAGAAAAGGCAGAAGCCACCUGUUUAACAGUUUGUACGCCUGUAAACUGAAGCUUCCAGAAGACCAGCGACAGCAAG